AGAGUUUGAUCAUGGCUCAGAUUGAACGCUGGCGGCAGGCCUAACACAUGCAAGUCGAGCGGAUGAAGGGAGCUUGCUCCUGGAUUCAGCGGCGGACGGGUGAGUAAUGCCUAGGAAUCUGCCUGGUAGUGGGGGAUAACGUCCGGAAACGGGCGCUAAUACCGCAUACGUCCUGAGGGAGAAAGUGGGGGAUCUUCGGACCUCACGCUAUCAGAUGAGCCUAGGUCGGAUUAGCUAGUUGGUGGGGUAAAGGCCUACCAAGGCGACGAUCCGUAACUGGUCUGAGAGGAUGAUCAGUCACACUGGAACUGAGACACGGUCCAGACUCCUACGGGAGGCAGCAGUGGGGAAUAUUGGACAAUGGGCGAAAGCCUGAUCCAGCCAUGCCGCGUGUGUGAAGAAGGUCUUCGGAUUGUAAAGCACUUUAAGUUGGGAGGAAGGGCAGUAAGUUAAUACCUUGCUGUUUUGACGUUACCAACAGAAUAAGCACCGGCUAACUUCGUGCCAGCAGCCGCGGUAAUACGAAGGGUGCAAGCGUUAAUCGGAAUUACUGGGCGUAAAGCGCGCGUAGGUGGUUCAGCAGGUUGGAUGUGAAAUCCCCGGGCUCAACCUGGGAACUGCAUCCAAAACUACUGAGCUAGAGUACGGUAGAGGGUGGUGGAAUUUCCUGUGUAGCGGUGAAAUGCGUAGAUAUAGGAAGGAACACCAGUGGCGAAGGCGACCACCUGGACUGAUACUGACACUGAGGUGCGAAAGCGUGGGGAGCAAACAGGAUUAGAUACCCUGGUAGUCCACGCCGUAAACGAUGUCGACUAGCCGUUGGGAUCCUUGAGAUCUUAGUGGCGCAGCUAACGCGAUAAGUCGACCGCCUGGGGAGUACGGCCGCAAGGUUAAAACUCAAAUGAAUUGACGGGGGCCCGCACAAGCGGUGGAGCAUGUGGUUUAAUUCGAAGCAACGCGAAGAACCUUACCUGGCCUUGACAUGCUGAGAACUUUCCAGAGAUGGAUUGGUGCCUUCGGGAACUCAGACACAGGUGCUGCUUGGCUGUCGUCAGCUCGUGUCGUGAGAUGUUGGGUUAAGUCCCGUAACGAGCGCAACCCUUGUCCUUAGUUACCAGCACCUCGGGUGGGCACUCUAAGGAGACUGCCGGUGACAAACCGGAGGAAGGUGGGGAUGACGUCAAGUCUUCAUGGCCCUUACGGCCAGGGCUACACACGUGCUACAAUGGUCGGUACAAAGGGUUGCCAAGCCGCGAGGUGGAGCUAAUCCCAUAAAACCGAUCGUAGUCCGGAUCGCAGUCUGCAACCCGACUGCGUGAAGUCGGAAUCGCUAGUAAUCGUGAAUCAGAAUGUCACGGUGAAUACGUUCCCGGGCCUUGUACACACCGCCCGUCACACCAUGGGAGUGGGUUGCUCCAGAAGUAGCUAGUCUAACCGCAAGGGGGACGGUUACCACGGAGUGAUUCAUGACUGGGGUGAAGUCGUAACAAGGUAGCCGUAGGGGAACCUGCGGCUG
rnacentral:rRNA from 1 species